GACGAACGCUGGCGGCGUGCUUAACACAUGCAAGUCGAACGGAAAGGCCCCUUCUGGGUUCCUCGAGUGGCGGACAGGUGGGUAACACGCACGUAACCUGCCCUUGACUUCGGGAUAACUUCACGAAACUGGGGCCAAUACCGGCUAGGAAUCCUUGCUGCAUGGAGGGGGUUGGUAAGCUUCGGCGGUUUGGGCUGGACUUGCGGCCUAACCGUCUGGUGGUGGGGUAGUGGGUUACCAAGGCUUGCACGGGUAGCCGGCCUGAAAGGGCGAACGGCCACAAUGGGACUGAGAAAAGGCCCAGAACCCUACGGGGGGCAACAAGGGGGAAUAUUGCAACAUGGGCGGAAGCCUGAUGCAACAACGCCGCGUGCGGGAUGACCGCCUUCGGGUUGUAAACCGCUUUCAGCAGGGGCGAAACUUGUAGUGACGGUACCUGCAGAAGAAGCACCGGCUAACUACGUG
rnacentral:rRNA from 1 species